GUGUCGUGGUUAGCGGAAGUGGCCUGGGAUGGUCUGCCGUAGACGGUGAGAGCCCGGUACGCGAAAACCCGGCACCUGCCUAGUAUCAAUUCCCGAGUAGCAGCGGGCCCGUGGAAUCCGCUGUGAAUCCGCCGGGACCACCCGGUAAGCCUAAAUACUCCUCGAUGACCGAUAGCGGAUUAGUACCGUGAGGGAAUGGUGAAAAGUACCCCGGGAGGGGAGUGAAAGAGUACCUGAAACCGUGUGCCUACAAUCCGUCAGAGCCUCCUUUUCCUCUCCGGAGGAGGGUGGUGAUGGCGUGCCUUUUGAAGAAUGAGCCUGCGAGUCAGGGACAUGUCGCAAGGUUAACCCGUGUGGGGUAGCCGCAGCGAAAGCGAGUCUGAAUAGGGCGACCCACACGCGCAUACGCGCGUGUGAAUAGUGGCGUGUUCUGGACCCGAAGCGGAGUGAUCUACCCAUGGCCAGGGUGAAGCGCGGGUAAGACCGCGUGGAGGCCCGAACCCACUUAGGUUGAAGACUGAGGGGAUGAGCUGUGGGUAGGGGUGAAAGGCCAAUCAAACUCCGUGAUAGCUGGUUCUCCCCGAAAUGCAUUUAGGUGCAGCGUUGCGUGGUUCACCGCGGAGGUAGAGCUACUGGAUGGCCGAUGGGCCCUACUAGGUUACUGACGUCAGCCAAACUCCGAAUGCCGUGGUGUAAAGCGUGGCAGUGAGACGGCGGGGGAUAAGCUCCGUACGUCGAAAGGGAAACAGCCCAGAUCGCCGGCUAAGGCCCCCAAGCGUGUGCUAAGUGGGAAAGGAUGUGCAGUCGCAAAGACAACCAGGAGGUUGGCUUAGAAGCAGCCACCCUUGAAAGAGUGCGUAAUAGCUCACUGGUCAAGUGAUUGUGCGCCGAUAAUGUAGCGGGGCUCAAGCACACCGCCGAAGCCGCGGCACAUCCACCUUGUGGUGGGUGUGGGUAGGGGAGCGUCCCUCAUUCAGCGAAGCCACCGGGUGACCGGUGGUGGAGGGUGGGGGAGUGAGAAUGCAGGCAUGAGUAGCGACAAGGCAAGUGAGAACCUUGCCCGCCGAAAGACCAAGGGUUCCUGGGCCAGGCCAGUCCGCCCAGGGUGAGUCGGGACCUAAGGCGAGGCCGACAGGCGUAGUCGAUGGACAACGGGUUGAUAUUCCCGUACCCGUGUGUGGGCGCCCGUGACGAAUCAGCGGUACUAACCACCCAAAACCGGAUCGAUCACUCCCCUUCGGGGGUGUGGAGUUCUGGGGCUGCGUGGGAACUUCGCUGGUAGUAGUCAAGCGAAGGGGUGACGCAGGAAGGUAGCCGUACCAGUCAGUGGUAACACUGGGGCAAGCCGGUAGGGAGAGCGAUAGGCAAAUCCGUCGCUCACUAAUCCUGAGAGGUGACGCAUAGCCGGUUGAGGCGAAUUCGGUGAUCCUCUGCUGCCAAGAAAAGCCUCUAGCGAGCACACACACGGCCCGUACCCCAAACCGACACAGGUGGUCAGGUAGAGCAUACCAAGGCGUACGAGAUAACUAUGGUUAAGGAACUCGGCAAAAUGCCCCCGUAACUUCGGGAGAAGGGGGACCGGAAUAUCGUGAACACCCUUGCGGUGGGAGCGGGAUCCGGUCGCAGAAACCAGUGAGGAGCGACUGUUUACUAAAAACACAGGUCCGUGCGA
rnacentral:rRNA from 1 species